CGGCGCGGCAAUAGUACCUUGAAAGCACCAGUUCACCAGUUGAGCACGGUUGCGCGUGGUUAGUACCUGGAUGGGUGACCAUCUGGCCAAUAGCGUGCUGCCUAGC
rnacentral:rRNA from 1 species